UACGUAGUGGGCUAGCGUUAUCCGGAAUUACUGGGCGUAAAGGGUGCGCAGGUGGUUAAUUAAGUCUGAUGUGAAAGCCCACGGCUUAACCGUGGAGGGUCAUUGGAAACUGGUUGACUUGAGUGCAGAAGAGGGAAGUGGAAUUCCAUGUGUAGCGGUGAAAUGCGUAGAGAUAUGGAGGAACACCAGUGGCGAAGGCGGCUUCCUGGUCUGCAACUGACACUGAGGCGCGAAAGCGUGGGGAGCAAACAGG
rnacentral:rRNA from 1 species